GCCGCUUUAGCUCAGUUGGUAGAGCACAUCAUUCGUAAUGAUGGGGUCACGUGUUCGAGUCACGUAAGCGGCA
rfam:Erythrobacter sp. YT30 contig00002, whole genome shotgun sequence.